rnacentral:rRNA from 1 species
UACGUAGGGUGCGAGCGUUGUCCGGAAUUAUUGGGCGUAAAGAGCUCGUAGGUGGUUUGUCGCGUUGUCCGUGAAAACUCACAGCUCAACUGUGGGCGUGCGGGCGAUACGGGCAGACUGGAGUACUGCAGGGGAGACUGGAAUUCCUGGUGUAGCGGUGGAAUGCGCAGAUAUCGGGAGGAACACCAAUGGCGAAGGCAGCUCGCUGGGACGUUACUGACGCUGAGACGCGAAAGCGUGGGGAGCAGACAGG